GGGGACGACAGGCUUCGACGUGGUCGACUCCGCUGGGUUGGUUGCGAGCCGAGGUCCCGGAGGCCUCGUAAAACACCGGGACAACCAUACGUGCGGACUCUCACGAGUACGCCCUGCAGGCCUAGCACCUAGCUAGACCGUGCAGGUCCCGCUCCCCGGCCGGCCGGCCGCCGGGGACUCGGGAUCAACCACGCCGGCUCACCCGGGGAGGUCCGCUCCCGCCGAACCGGGGACAUCUUCAGGGAGCUGGUCCUCCGCAACCCCGUCGGGGAGGCGAGCGGAGGACGAGACCAGAGCCCCGACUACGCUCGUAGAGGCCUUCCGCAGCGCGAUCGCGGACGCGGGUUCAAUUCCCGCCGUCUCCACCU
rnacentral:tmRNA from 1 species